UUCCAAACGACUGCGUGAGGGAUUGCAGCGAAAAUCCUUUUGUGGAAUGCAAUGGAACAAAAGAUUGCAGCGGAAAGCCCGACGGCGG
rnacentral:sRNA from 1 species